GCCCAAAGACCAAAUCUGUUUCGAAGUCGAUCAAAGCCGGUCUCCAGUUUCCGGUGGGGAGAAUCACUCGUUUCCUGAAGAAAGGACGAUACGCCCAGAGGCUCGGUGGUGGAGCUCCGGUUUACAUGGCCGCCGUUCUCGAGUACCUCGCCGCCGAAGUAAGUUUCGCGGUUCUCUGUUAAUUUCAGAUCUGAUUUGUUAAAGCAGCGAAAUCAUUUUCUGAUUCCUAAACUUUGUUUUGAUUGCAGGUUCUGGAGCUUGCUGGUAACGCUGCGAGAGACAACAAGAAAACGAGGAUCAUCCCGAGGCAUCUUCUUCUCGCGAUCAGGAACGAUGAAGAAUUGGGGAAACUUCUCAGCGGAGUCACAAUCGCUCACGGUGGUGUCUUGCCCAACAUUAACGCCGUUCUUCUCCCUAAGAAGUCGUCUGCUAAAUCGGCUGAGGAUACUGCAUCCAAGUCACCAGCCAAAUCUCCCAAGAAAGCUUAAUUCAUCUUCUCCAGUUUACGUUUUCAUUCACCAGUUUUUUUUUUUAUGUUUUGUAUUGGGUAUUUUGUUAGUGUUGGGGCUUGGUGAAUGUAAAAAUGUUGAAAAAGUCGAGCAUUUUAGUUUAAUCUUUAGGGUUCUACGUAUUUCGGUUUCGAAAGUUGUUCAGAUCCUCGUAUUUCCUAAGUAACAAUUAAAUGAUAUUUCCAUAUUCCAAUCCGAUUCGUGUUCCCUGAUACUACAAUCUUAAUCUCCUCUCUGUAAUUGUCUUUGCCUAACUUAAUAAUUCAAUCAAAGAUGGUGUAGACAAUCUAAUUUGUUUUGAUCCGUGACGAAACACAUUUGAGUAUGUGAAGACCGUGUGCAAUUCUUUUGUUCAAGGUGAACGAGUCAUUAGUAACACUCAGUUUGAAUGAUUCAUUUCAUAUUAAGACCAUGUACAUCAGUGAACUCAGGGGUUCACCAGAAUAUAAUAAUAUUUUUUUAUUUAUUUUAGUUUUUAUUUUUUUUUAAAUUAAAAAAUUAUAAUUUUCGACAAAUCAGGAUGCUCCAUUUCGGGAUGAACUGUCUCUUCAGAUUCGUCGGUGUCUCUUCAGUAUUAAGCUCUUUUGUCUCAAAAACUGUGCCAUGAACCCCUCUUGAUCCUCUAAUGUACAUGCUCUAAGCAUCUCACGACCAUGUAUAACGCUUGUCCAAGCUUACGAUGGUCUCGAUCCUAAACCUUACUCUCUUAUCAGUUUUGUUCUACACAGAGAACUUUGGUACUGUGUAAUACUCGCCGUGCUUGAUUAAACUCAUAAAUAAUUACUCGCCGCGAUUUUCCUCUUCCCUUGACAAGAAUUCCACCAAAACUGUAUCUUGUUAUUUCUUACAUUGAUUCUAUUGUAAGUGUAAAGUGUAAACAACGUUAAUAUUGCAUAAACCGAGAAUUAAUGCCACAGCCACAGAUUUGAGGAGGACAUUACUUUGGACUUUUAUACUAGCAGUCUUGCUUGGGUCAUAACUCGCAUGAUCAUAUCAGCAUUAGUUAUGAAAUUUGAGUGAUUUGUAAGUAUGCAUGGUGUUUGCAGAUACGCGUUCCUAAUCAAAGUGAACCAACAUUUUAUCUUAAUUUGCAGAUGGUAGGUGAGAUUAUAUGCAAUAGUAUUUGUCGUUUGCUCGAAUCUGCAGGGUGUUAAUUGCAUGCCGGGAAAAGAAGAGCACAAAAAACCAACAACGACAAACUUGAACCCAACUUAUCAGUGAAUCUGACUAAUUAGGUUACUAUAUAAAGCUGAAAACAAAGUAGUUUUAUGAAAGAAAAAUAUUUUACAAAAGCAUAAAUAUAUCAUACGACAAACAUGUCAUAGACUCAUAAUGCAAGUUUUGUUGUAAAAACAUAAAUAUGUCCUGGUCGAUAUAUUAGUAAGUAGAGUAGCAACGACCAUUACUUUGUUAUAUUCUGAAUCGCAUAAUCAAGGAAAAAAAAACUUCUUUAUGUACCUGCAGGGUCUUUUUGGAAUUUAACGGUGAAAGGCUGUAAGCAUUUCCCAGCCAAGCGCAUGGACCUCUCACGAGAACAAUAACCACACUUUGGAGAACAAUUGUCUUUGAGUUUCCGCGGAGCAUCCUUAACCUCAAGAGUAUAUCCUCCCAAAGAACUUCCAUUGAGUUCUAACGCCUUGUCAACAUUAUUUUCCAGAUCUAUGUAAGCAUAUCUGUAAAAUGAGAGAAACAACAACAACAAAAAAAAGAACUAAAAUCUCUGCAUUUACAUUUAACUUGAGCUGUGACGAAGUUGAGGAAGAAUUGAAGUCACAAACCCACUGCCACGGGGAACAAAAACACAUGUGAUAUCUCCACAUGAACCGAAAUGUUUAACCAAUGCGCUCUUAAUAUCAUCCCUGGGAAGGUAAGGAUCAAAUCCAUUGACGAAAAUGGUUCCCCUAUAUCUCGAUGGAUUCACCUUUCCCUUUGAAGUUUCCUUCUCCUAUAGAAACAGUUUGAAAUAAUUAAAGAAAUCAACUAUAUAAAGUGUGAAGCAAUCAUCUCUCAAGCAACAAAAACAAACUAAAGUAAACACUUAAACAAUAAAAACAUAUACCGGUAGAUCAGGCUUUGGCAGUAACGUCUCCGGUACAUCAGCAUUUGUCAGUAACUUCUCCGGUACAUCAGCCUUUGUCAGUAACUUCUCCGGUACAUCAGCCUUUGUCAGUAACUUCUCCGGUAGGUUUUUUAUUGUUUCAGUCAUCUCUUUGAUAGAGUCUUUCAACCUUUUGAUUUCCUGCCAAUAGAAAUGUAAAUAAGAAAAGCUUGCAAAAUUAAUCCUAUUCAUUAUACUUUUUUGAAGACUGUUAUCUAAAUAAACCGUAAUGGUGUGAUAAGAGAGAAUCUUAUUCACAUCAAGAACAUCUUCUAUGGUAGAUGCCUGUCUAUCUAUAUUAACGUCAUGCGUAGCCAUUUUCUUGGACGCUGGUACUUCUUUCCCUGAAACAAAACCAAGAGAUGUGAGAUAAAUCCAACAAAAAUCAAAUGAUAUAACAAAAAACAACACAGAAAAUCUUGAAUUCGCAAAAACAAAGUUUCCUGUAUAAUUAUUGAUCAGUGCUCUUACAAGAAUUCAUAUGAAAAUAAAAUCCAAACGUAACGGUUGGUCAUUGUAAAAGUGAUCGCUGGAACAGAGAUGGAUAUCAAGACUUCUUAAUCCGGCGAUUAUUACACUUUAUCGAAAAGGACGAUUCAGUUAUUAUCUGGUUAAAAUUACAUGUAUUCUUAUAUUUGCAAGAUGUGUAUUUUCUUUUGAAUUGUAUGACCUAGUUUAUGUUCUGUAUUUGUUAAUUUUAUAUUGCAAAAAUAUAGGAAGAAUAUUAGAAGUUAACAGUAGGUGCUGAGAAAUCAAUGGAAUCAUGGUGCAAUAUUCCAACCAAAAAUGAGGAAAAACAUAAAAAAAACUUACAAAAAGCGCAGGAAAUUUUGAUUCCAAAUGAAAACUCCAGAAUAUAUCUCAAAUCAAUAUUAUUACAGUUGGGAGUACAGAAAAAUAGUCUAAAUUUGAGUCUACAUUAUAGAACCAACUACCAUGACUAAGACUUGUUGUAGAUUUAAUCCGACCAAAUAAAAAUGAAGUAGUUUGCAAAAAGAAAGAUAGCCAAAUCGACAUAAAAUCCAAUGGUCGGUAAAAAUAAACAAAUUCAAUGAUUUCUCCAAAUCACAGAUGGUCUAAUAUGAUCUGAGCAAAUAAAGAGAGAACACAAAAGACACCCAAUUAAUUACCUUUUCGCGAAUGCUCGGUGGAUUUCUUGCGUUUCUUAUUUCCUAUAAAGAUUAAUAUCCAAAAAAAAAAAACACUUGAGAAGAGAUCUUAAACGGAUAGCAAAGGAAGAAGGUGCCAACCAAAAAAAAAUAAUAAUCCAAUUUCCUACCUUUUGCAUGUUCAACCUAAAAACAGGAGAUACAAAAAAAGAAACGCAUUAGUAAGAAAGUUCUUAAAAUUGAGUAAGUAAUUAGUAAGAAAGUUCUUAAAAUUGAGUAAGUAAGAAGAACAUAGAAAGAAGAAAAAUACAUCGGUGGAUGCAGAGCACUUCUUGAGAUCCAUGCCCACUUUGUCCAUGAGGAGUUGAGAAAAUAAGAGAUGAGCUGCCGCUACGUUAAAAAUAGACUGCAUAUUUAUAACUCUUUUUUUUUCCAUUCUGGUCUUAGAUGAGAAUUUUUGGGCUGUGUUUUAUGGGCCAUGGGAUCCUAAACAAAUUUGGAUAACCCAAAACAUUGUCUUCGAUAUAUUUCUAUAAUUAUUCUGUGUGUUUUGUGUUUAAACUAAUCGGAUCUGUUUUUGCUAAAUGAAAUGAAACUUGUCGGAUCUGUUUCAUCGAGUGACGGCAUCUUGUUUGUUGAAGGAGGCAAGCUCGCCGUGGGAUCUGGAGAAGAAUCACGAUGCUGACAUGUUGAUGGUUGCAGAAUGAGAAAAAGUAUGACAUCCCAAUUUCUAGUAUAUAUAAAAAAUGUUUAUAAAAUUGAUUUGGAUACCUAUAUCAUUAAAUUGCACUUAUAUUUUUAAGCAUUGGUCUUUUGAGAGAACUUCAGAGUUAAGCGUGUUUAUGCUGGAUCAAUUCGGGUGAUCUACUGAAAAGUAGUCUGCGGUACCGUGUUCGUGUGAGUGAGGAUAAAGCACAAGAAAAUAUUAUGUGAUGAUUACAGAGACAGUAGACAAGUCUUAUGAGCCUCCCAGAUCAAACGAUUCCAGACCAUUGGAGAUGAGUGGGCCAACAGACCUAGAAAAAGGACGUUGGACCCACGGAUCUAGAGAGGGCGUUGGGCUCACUGGUAAAUGGAGUUGGGGGCGUUAGAGUUGUUAAUAGCCAAUCCUGAUGAAAUGCGGGAUCAGCGUCUCAUGAAUUUCAUAGCUGGGCCCGUAUGUUUCCUGGAAGGGAAGAAGAGAGUGGGGUCUCACAAUGUGGUAUCAGAGCCUAAAUUAGCCAACCGGCUCUGAUCCGGGUGUCUCUUGGGAUGUAGAUAAGGAAAUACGAGGAAGAAUUUCUUGGAAAUCGGGGAGAAUGUGACAUCCCAAUUUCUAGUAUAUAUAAAAAAAUGCUUAUAAGAAUUGAUUUGACUAUGUAUGUCAUCAAAAUGCAAGCACGCUGAAGCAAUCUCAUGAUGGGUGAUUUACAAGGAAGUGGUCUAUGGUGCCGUGAGAGUGAGGACAAAGCACGAGAAAAUAUCAUGUGGUGAUUGUAAAGACAAUAGACAAGUCUUAUAAGCCUCCCAGACAAAAUGAUUCCCGACUGUCGGACAAAGGUGGGCCAACGGGCCUAGAGAGGAUGUUGGGCCAACAGGCGUAAAUAAAGGACGUUAGACCCAUGGGCCUAGAGAGGACGUUGGGCUCAAUGGUAAAGGCGGUUGGGGUGUCAGAAAUGUUGAUAGCCAAUCUAGAUGAAAUGUGGGAUCAGAUUCUCAUAGAUUUAAUAGCCGGCCCGUCUAGUUACAGAAGGGAAGAACGAAGAGGGGUCUCACAGAAAGAUGAAGGCCUGUUCGUUUUUUGAUCUAGAUUUUGCAUCUAAAUUUAGCAUUUAGAUGUUGCAUCUAGAUAUAUUAUCUAGAUAUUGUUUUUUUUGGAAAUUUAUUUUGCAUCAAGUUGCAGCGUCUAAAUACAAAAUUGUUCGUUUCUGAAUUUAGAAAAAUAGUUGGAUGAAAAAUAUAUCAAAUGACUAUAUGGGCAUCUCCAAGAGAGACUUGAGAAACUUGAGAAACUUCAAAUUUGAAGUUUUAGGUAUUUCUCUCCAAGAGUGACACUUCAAAAUAAACUUCAAACAAAGUUUAUUUUGCAUUAAAGUCCUUACUUCUCAACAUAAUUAGUGAAACUCAUUAAAUAUUAUAAAUAACUAUAAAACAUAUAUUAAAAUUUUUUAUAGAUAAUAUUGAUUAAUUAAACAUCAUUAAUAUUAUAAAAAACCCACAAACAUAAUCAAAAAUAACAAAAUAAAAUACUAAAUUAUUCACUGACAUUAUUUAUGUGUGUUUUUAAUUUAGUUUUUGUAAUGUUUAAUGUGAUAUUUUAAUUUGAAGUUGUUUUUUUUAAUUUUGUAUAUGAAAAUUACAGUUAAAGAUAUAUAUGAAAUAAUUAUCAAACAAAUUAUAGAAUUAAAAUGAUAAACAAACAUAACUAAAAACAUUAUCUAUAAGAGCAUCUCCAAGAGAGACUUCAUAUCUUCAAAUUUGAAGUUUUAUGCACUCCAAAACAGUGGCGGAGCCAGAAACUUUUUUCAUUGGGGGCAAAUAAGAGUAUAUAUAAUUUUAGAAGUGGGGGCAUUGAUAUUUGGCUUUAAUAAACUACACCAAAAUUUUAAAAUCAAUGGGGGCGAAUGACCCCAUGUUAGACAAAGUGGCUCCGCCACUGCUCCAAAAGAGACUUCAAAUCUUCAAAUUUUGAAGAUCUGAACAGUGACACUCUAUAUUUGAAGUUUUACUAUUCAGAUCUUCAAAUUUGAAGAUUCAUCUUUUUUUUGCAUUUUGGUCUUUAUAAUUAACUAUAUUUAUAUAUUUAUGUUCUUUUAUCAUUUUAAUUUUAUAACAUGUCUGAUAAUUAUUUCAUAUAUAUUUUUAUAAUUGUAAUUUCAAAUUAACAUAUCACAUAAAAACAUUACAAAAAGUAAAUUACAAAUACAUAUAAAUAUAACAUAAUAUUAUUAUACAGAUUUAUUAAUACAACAUAAAGUUUUUUUAGAAAAUAUUAUAAGCACACAUAAGUAAUACAAAAAUUAAAAUACUAUAACAACACUAAUAAUCAGACAAAUUUGAUCCUGAACCUCUAAGAUCACCAAAAUACUAACCCUAUAUAUUUAGAGUUGGAAGUUGUUGUUGUUCUUGAGUUUUUUUUUUGUAUGAUUUUUGCUUGUUCUGAUCGAAUAAACUCACGAGUAUUACUAUCAACAAUAGAGUCUAAAUUUGUUUGCAGUAUUUUAUUUUCUUCUUGCAUUUCUUUUAGAGCCAACUUCUUUGCUUGAUUUUGCAUAUGUAAUUGAAUUGGCAAUCAAUGAGAAUACCCGAUUUCAACAACUUUUAGCUCGUUAUCUAUAGAUAAAAUAUAAAGAAACACAUUUAUCACUUCGAAAGGCAUUGAUUGAUCAUAUAUGAGAGUUUUACGAAAAUAAUGUUAAUGAAUAAUUUAGUAUUCUAUUUUGUUAUUUUUUGUUUGUGUGUUUUUAUGAUAUUAAUGAUGUUUAAUUAAUUAAUAUUAUAUAUAAUCGUUUUUAAUAUAUGUUUUAUAGUUAUUUAUAUUAUUUAAUGAGUUUAGCUAAUUAUUUUGAAAAGUAAGGACUAUAAUGCAAAAUAGAAAAAUUUUGAAGUUUAUUUUUGAAGUAUCACUCUUGGAGAGAAACACCUAAAACUUCAAAUUUGAAGUUUCUGAAUCUUCAAAAAUGAAGUCUCUCUUGUAGAUGCCUUAAAGACACUUAAUUAUAAGAAUCAAAAUGCAAAAAAAAGAUGAAUCUUCAAAUUUGAAGAUCUGAAUAGUAAAACUUUAAAUAUAGAGUGUCACUAUUUAGAUCUUCAAAAUUUGAAGAUUUAAAGUCUCUUUUGGACUGCAUAAAACUUCAAAUUUGAAGAUAUGAAAUCUCUCUUUGAGAUGCUCUAAGGACAUACUUUUGAAUAAUUUGAUAUACUUUUGAAUAAUUAUUUUUAUUUAUAAUCAAUUUAGUUUUAUAUUAAAUUAACCUAAAAUUAUUUCAAAGUGAUAUUUUUAUCAAAUUAAUUUUUAAAAUACAUAAAAAAUAAAUUUGCAUUUUUUUGUGGGAAAACAUGAUUUCGUAGAUUUGUUAGGGAUUUUUUUUUGCGUUUUGGCGAGAAGUUAGAAUUUGAGUUUCGGCGAGAAAUUAAAUUUACGUUUCUUUGGAAAUUAAAACCGAGAUUUUGCGUAUUGUCGCGAAAAAAAAAUAAUUUUUAGCAUUUGUGGUGGAAAACUGAGAUUUUGCAUAUUUGGCGGGAAACCUAGAUUUUGUGUUUUUGACGGGAAAACAAUAUAUUUUGCGUUUUUUGGCGGGAAAAUGAGAGUUAGCGUUUUUGGGGAGAAAAAUGAGACUUUAAGUUUUUGACCAAAAUCCUAGAUUUUGCAUUUUUGACGGGAAAACAAGAUUUUGCAUUUUUGGCGAAAAAAUGAGAGUUAACAUUUUGGGCAAGAAAAUAAGUUUUUUCACUUUUGGUGUAAAACCGAGAUUUUUUAUUUUUUACGAGAAACCGAAGAUUUGCAUAUUUACCGGAAAACCAAGAUUUUAAGUUUUUGGCGUGAAAAUAAGAUUUUAGGUUUUAGCGAGAACUUGCGAUUUUGCGUUUUUAGCGGGAAAUCAAAAUUUUGCGUUUUUUAUAGGGUAAAUGAAAUUUUCCGUUUUUGCCAGGAAACCAAAAUUUGCUGUUUUGGCUGGCAUCGAAGCUUUUCAUUUGACGGGAAAAUUGAGAUUGUGCAAAUAUGGCUGGAAAACGUGAUUUGGCCAAAAGCCGGGAUUAUACAUUUUAGCGAUAUUUUUUGUUUUUUUGAGAAAUGAUUUUUUGCUAAAAAUGAUUUUCCUUAUAUAUAUUAUGAAUAUGGUACUAUAUUGAAGGGUAUUUUAGUCUUUUGGUUUUGAGAUGCUAGAUUUGCAGCUAGACUCUACAUUUUUCAGCAUCUCAAAUAUCUAGAUUUUUGAGAUGUUGUUGAGUUUGCAUCUAGAUGCAGCAUCCAGAUGUUGGUUCUAAAGUGUCAAACGAAUAUUAUUUGAACAUUUUCAUCUAGAUACAGCGUCUAUAUGCAAAAAUGAACCGGGCCUAAGAAGAUAAGAAGCACCAGGAGUGGUGGCCGAAGGAAAAACUAUAGCAGCAGAAGAAUGCUAAGAGAGGCGGUGGUGUCGUAUGAAGCCGUCGUGAGGCAAAAAUUUGAUUAUUUGAGCAAAAAAAUCAAAUAAAACAACAAUGCAUAUGUCAUGUCAAUGAAGGCUAAAGCCCAAAGUCUAAUUAGCCCAUUUCAGUAUAUAAAAUUAUAAAUCCAAAAAAUAUUGAAUUGAUUUAGUGGAUAUUUCCGUUUAAGCUUAAUCAGUUAAUUUUUUUUGGUUGCCAAACAUACUUUUAUUAUAAUUUUAAAAAAAAAAAAUAUUUUAAAUCUCAAUUGCUCAUAUUAUUUAUUUUAUUUUUCUGUAAUUCCUUAUUUUUAAAAGUCAUGACUGUAAGACUUUUAUUGGUUUAAAGCUAAUUUUCUUUGUUUUAACAGAAAAAACAUUUUAAGUAUUAUUUUUAAGUAAAGUCUACAGUAAAUACCAUAUACCAAGCAAUAUCUUCAUUUUUUAAGCCACUUUUUUUUUAAAAAAAAAUCAAACUUUAAAAUCAUUUGCUGUUAAGAUAAAUAUAGAGUAACAACACAUACCAAACAAGCCCUAUAAAUUCUGACUUUUAUUUUUGUAAAGUCACAGUUAGUAUUAAAAGUUAAAAUUUUCAAAGUACUCAAAUAUAAAUUAAAAGUUCCAGUUUUUACCUUUUAAAAGUUGAUAAUGUUUAAAGCAUACUUUUGCUUUCUUUAAGCUUCAAAAUCACUAAAAUUUCUACAGUUUUUAUUUCUCGUUGUUUAAACCAAUAGUUUAUGAUUUUAUUUGGCUUGUAGGCUUUGUAGGCUAUAACUUUUUAUUUUCCAAUUGCAAUUCCAUUUAUAAAUAGGAUUAAAGUAAAUCCCACAACCAAACAGGAAAAAAAACUGGCGCCGUAUCGAAAAUUCGAAAUACAUGGAAACGUUUCUGAUUGGUUAAUCCGAUCACACGAGGAUCGCAUCUUAUAUCAUCCUCUACCGUCGAUAGGACCAAAUCUAACGGAUACAGAUCUUCUUCCUGCUUUUGUCCCGCUCAACUAUAAAUGACACUGAGGACCGGGAUCUAAAACGACACAAAACUAAUACAAAUCUUCUUCCUUCUUUCUUCUUCAGAAUUCGUGGCAAUGGAAACGACAGGAAAAGUGAAGAAGGGUUUCGGAGGAAGAAAAGCCGGUGGCCCAAAGACCAAAUCUGUUUCGAAGUCGAUUAAAGCCGGUCUCCAGUUUCCGGUGGGGAGAAUCACUCGUUUCCUGAAGAAAGGACGAUACGCCCAGAGGCUCGGUGGUGGAGCUCCGGUUUACAUGGCCGCCGUUCUCGAGUACCUCGCCGCCGAAGUAAGUUUCGCGGUUCUCUGUUAAUUUCAGAUCUGAUUUGUUAAAGCAGCGAAAUCAUUUUCUGAUUCCUAAAUUUUGUUUU
rnacentral:lncRNA from 1 species